rnacentral:lncRNA from 1 species
AGGUUCAUCUUAUGUCUUUGAGUAUUCUGUCUGCGUGUGUGCAUGUGCGUCCGUCCCAUACAUGCCGUGCCUGGUGCUCACAGAGACCAAAAGAGGGCAUCUGAUCCCUUGGAACUGGAGCUACAGACAGUUGGACUGAACCACCCGGUUUGGCUCGGUGACUCAGCCCUGUGUCUGCUACUCGUCUGGAGGUCACCUGGGAGCUGUCCUGAUUAUCAGAUCUAUUAUUGCUGUCCUUGCCUCCAGGUCCAGGAGGCCAGAGGAUGGUAUCGAAUUCCCCGGAAGUGGAGUUAUGGGAAGUUGUGAGCCAUCAUGGGGACGCUGGAAAUCGAACCCAGGGUCUCGGUCUGUGUCCCAGAUCGGUCUGGAGUUCUAGAAGGUCCAGGAUGCAUAGUCUGGGAUGGCCUGAGUCCCUUUGCCCCAACAGCCUGAGUCCAGGGAUCACAGGCAUGAACCCCUGUGCCACACUCACUGUUCCUUGCUCCAUUCCUGUUUUUCUGCCCCUAGAUAACUAUGUCCUUCCCCUUGGAACAUUUACUUUAUUUUGAGAAGUGUCUGACUCUAAAACAAAAAGUUUGUCCAACUG